ACGAACGCUGGCGGCAUGCCUAACCCAUGCCAGUCGAACGCGACCUUCGGGUCUAGUGGCGCACGGGUGCGUAACGCGUGGGAACCUGCCCUUAGGUUCGGAAUAACUCCCCGAAAGGGGUGCUAAUACCGGAUAAUGUCUUCGGACCAAAGAUUUAUCGCCUUUGGAUGGGCCCGCGUUGGAUUAGCUAGUUGGUAGGGUAAAAGCCUACCAAGGCGACGAUCCAUAGCUGGUCUGAGAGGAUGAUCAGCCACACUGGGACUGAGACACGGCCCAGACUCCUACGGGAGGCAGCAGUGGGGAAUAUUGGACAAUGGGCGAAAGCCUGAUCCAGCAAUGCCGCGUGAGUGAUGAAGGCCUUAGGGUUGUAAAGCUCUUUUACCCGGGAUGAUAAUGACAGUACCGGGAGAAUAAGCUCCGGCUAACUCCGUG
rnacentral:rRNA from 1 species